AGCAGGACGAACGAAGCUCUACACACGACUCGCACGCACACUAGCGCGCGUACAGCGUAACGCGCUGUACGCAAUACAAACGCAGCGGCACGAUGAAGCAGGUGAAUUCGAUGGUGUAGAAUCCUUGAAAUUCCUCGAGUUUCUUGCGUACAAGUAAAUAUUGUUACGGGGUUUUUUUCCUCCGAAAAGUCACACUGAAGGGACACCCAUAUUACUGCUGGUAAGCGUGUGUUGGUGCAUUGCUUCAAUCAAACAGACACAUCAAUUGCACACCCCCUUUCCG